GACGUAGGGUGCAAGCGUUGUCCGGAUUUACUGGGCGUAAAGAGCGCGUAGGCGGUCUGUUAAGUGUGAAGUGAAAUCUCCAGAGCUCAACUCGGAAACUGCUUCGCAUACUGGCAGACUUGAGGGACUGAGAGGUGAAUGGAAUUCCUGGUGUAGCGGUGAAAUGCGUAGAUAUCAGGAGGAACACCCAUGGCGAAGGCAGUUCACUGGCAGUCUCCUGACGCUGAGGCGCGAAAGCGUGGGUAGCAAA
rnacentral:rRNA from 1 species